AGCGAACGCUGGCGGCAGGCCUAACACAUGCAAGUCGAACGAACCUUUCGGGGUUAGUGGCGGACGGGUGCGUAACACGUGGGAACGUGCCUUUAGGUUCGGAAUAACUCAGGGAAACUUGUGCUAAUACCGAAGGUGCCCUUCGGGGGAAAGACUUAUCGCCUUUAGAGCGGCCCGCGUCGGAUUAGCUAGUUGGUUGAGGUAAUGGCUAACCAAGGCGACGAUCAGUAGCUGGUCUGAGAGGAUGAUCAGCCACAUUGGGACUGAGACACGGCACAAACUCCUACGGGAGGAAGCAGUGGGGAAUCUUGCGCAAUGGGUGAAAGCCUGACGCAGCCAUGCCGCGUGAAUGAUGAAGGUCUUAGGAUUGUAAAAUUCUUUCACCGGGGACGAUAAUGACGGUACCCGGAGAAGAAGCCCCGGCUAACUUCGUG
rnacentral:rRNA from 1 species